UCAUAUACGUUUUCAGCAAGUGGCCAGACUCCGUCUGGUUAGAGGGAAUCGGGUGCAACUCCCGAGCGAUCCGGUCACUGUAAGCGGGGAGCGUGCUGCAGAUCGCCAUUGCAUGUUUCACAUGUGAGAAGGCGCAGCACGUGACGAGCCGCAAGCCAGGAAACCUGCUUGCUGAAUUUGUGGGGA
rnacentral:ncRNA from 2 species